GCCUUCAUGGCGUAGUGGUCAGCACGCUCGUCGCGUAUUCGAGAAGUCCAUGGUUCGAGUCCCGGUGACGGCA
rfam:Stegodyphus mimosarum contig126546, whole genome shotgun sequence.